GCUUAGCGGGCUACCGCAGUGCCUGUCAGGAGCUGGGGUGACAGGAAAACCCCAGUGACAGAUCAUCGGCAUCGCUCAGCAGCCCAGACGCGCCCGGGGGAUACGACCGGAUCGAGGUCGCCACCCCUGACGGGGACCAGCUUCUUUCUUCCUGUGCAGCUCUCGGCUUGAAGGGGAGGAGCCCAGAAAGUAACAAAGGAUACAAGGAUCUCCCCGGACAGAAAAGUAAGGAAGAGUAAGACAGGCCGUAUUCCCUGUGAGUGAUGAACAAUGCUGCUCCCUCCCUGGAAACUCCGAGAGACCCACAGUAACUAAAGCAGGAAACUGUACAUAAAGACAAAGAACAUGUACAAAUCACAUACGACUCCUUCAGUCAUGGAGGAGUCCAUGAUGGAACCUCGGACGCAGAGGCCCGGACAGAGCAAAAUCUGGAGGCUCAUUUUCCAAGAAGUGUUGUUCCGCAACACCUGCUGACAGUUUCCUGUGACGAGAGGGCAGGUGCAACAUCAGCAGCACUUACAGAAGAUAAACAAGUGCCAUGCCGCCAUCCAUCCAUCCAUCCAUCCAUCCAUCCUCUAACUGCUUUUCCAGUACAGAGUUGCUGUGAAGCCGAGUGAGAUAAACAGACAAGCUGGGCGCCUACAGGUCCGUGGGAGGAACCGAAGGUGCGGUGAUCACGCCAGGGCCCGCGGAGCGGGAGAGAGAGAGAGAGGACGUGGAUGGCUGACAGCGGGAGCCUCGGAGGGGGGGAGGGGGUACUCCGGUGUCCCUCCUGAGAGUUGGCACAGGUGUCGCGCGUCGAGGGAGAGACGAAUGAUGGGAUUAAUUGGCCGUUCCGAACUGCAGGCGAUGCAAAAACAAGAAGAUUAAAGGGUCAAAACAUGAAUCAAUUACACACUACACCCAGAUUGCGUCCUGAUGGCAUUCUUAGUUACUUUAUGCUUAUCUCUACUUAGAUUAUUCUACUUUGGUUUAACGCGUGCGAGUCUGGCAUUUUGAAACGGCCGUCAAAGACAUAUUUGGUUUUGUAGCCCAGUCCCCGAUGGCUCUCCUGCCGCUACCCACCCGGAGGAGCGCUCGACACCUCCUCCCCCCCCGCACCUCCCACCCCCGGGCUCCGAUCUCGCCCUUCUCCUCUUGCCGACGAUGCGACGCCCUCUCCGUUCCCCCGUAACGCGCCUGUUAUUACGCCUCCCGCGGGAGGGGCCGCCAUAUGCUCUAAUAUAAACACAUUUGCAGCUGGAGAAAAAAUGAGACCAGUAUACAAAAAUAACAUCCAUGGAGAACCAAAAAAAAAUAAUAAUAAUAAAAUAAAAAAAUGAUCCUGUAACCUGAGCCAAGGAGAACAGAGUGUAGUGAGACAUGUACAGUGAGCAUCCCUGUGGUGAGGCUGCAGUAAGAACACGGCCUGUCCUCCCUGCCUGCCUCAUAAUGGGCUUUGCAGACUAGCUGUAGCAUAUAUAUAUAUAUAUAUAUUUUUUUUUACUUAUUAAUUUUCACACAGACUGGCCCUCUCCAUUAUUUGGGGCACGAGGAUCAUUCCGGAGGUAUAACUAAAGAGCGAGCUUCAUUUCCGAAUCACACGCUUGCUUUAAGGCGGUUGCACAGGACACGUCUGGGCGAAUUCCGUUUUCCCCAUCGCUGCGGUUUCUCGACCCGUCCUCAAGGAGCUAGAACUAAUUACUCCAGGUAACAAGUACCUUGGGUACAUGUUUUUACAGUUGGUUUAAAUGGUGCACGGCGUUUGGCCUAGGAGUUCACCUACCAGGGCCCCCGUACGUAACCCCCCCCCCCCACUUACAGAUCGGGUUUGGACUGGAGGUGACAGCCGCGCAAGGGCCUUGAUGAUAAUCUUGGGAGAAGGCGGCGCCCUCUGUCUGCCCCGAAGCCCCGGACGGCAUGGAUGAAAAUGAAGUGGAGAAAUCUCAUCAGUUUUCCCUGCAGACUGUGAGCGCACCCCAUGAUGACCGACAAAAUGUGCAGGGGAGGGGCGUGAAAUGUGCCCAUGUUUAUGAAAACUCCUGUAUAUACGACCGAGAUGUGAUUGAGACCGGAACCCAGAUUCCCAAGUAUCAUAAACAGAUUAAUUAUGAUAAAUGAUGGCCGUUUUUGGUUUUUAAACUACAAUGUGUGCAUGUGUAUGUGUGCGAAUAAAUUAGUCUGAAUAACUGAGAA